CGUUUGGCCUCGGAUGGAAGGAGAGCGAAGGGACGGAGAAUUGACUUCCUGAGUCAUGGACUGGACGCCGAAUGUAGUACCUGUAUCGAUCAGAUUUCCCCAGGGAAAUAAAACCAAGUCUAUAUCCACAUAUAUCUCAAGGGAGACAGAGAGAGGGGAGGGGAGUGUGAAGAACCCGUCCUGCACAGUUUUGGGGCCUAGUGGAAUACGUUCACGGCAGCACCGCGUAACCGAGCAUGGUGGCCUGGCCAGGGGACUCCCAAGCCUGACUGUCUCAGUCUACUCUUGGACCUGCCACCCUCCACAUUGCCUGAGUCUUAUACUCGUCUCCAGAUCAAGACAGCAGCAAAGUCACACUGCUGCCCGAAACACAAGUAUGCUGCACGCAACUGAAAACAUGCUCCCUUUCCCCAGAAGAUGAAUGUCUGGGUGAUGUCCAGGCUUAUCCUGGAUGUCCUGCAGCAGAAAUGAGGGAGGCCUGUACAUGAGAGUCGCCCCAGCCGGUACAGUCACCCCCAUCUUCGCAUGCUGGUUCUGUGGCACAGGGAGUCCAAGGCAGGCCUCACUUUCAGUUCAAUGGAAUCACUGCUGUGUCUCCUGGUGGAAGCAUUUCUCCCUUGGGAACUGACACCUGUUGGCCAGCAGGGGUGUUGGGGACAGGAAACAAAAAUGUUGCCAGUGGGUCACUAGGGGUAACACUGAGUGGUGCCACUCUCAUUUCCACCCUGUUGAUUCCUGGGCCCGUGAAUCCCGGCCAGGAGAGACAGCACUACAUAAAAUCUGAUGCAGAUUUAAAGCACCUUGGGAAGAACCUUGCCCCAGCCCUGCAAGGGGCUGCCACCUGGCUGGCAUGGUAACUGAGUCUUCAAAAGGCCAUUCCUCUGUUCCAUGAAGCCAGCCACUCCAGGACGGUGGGAACAUGGUAAGACUGGGGAAUCCGUGAGCGUGGGCCCAUUGCAGCCCUUCUUUCCUACAAGGUGAGUUCCUUGGUCAAAAGCAAUGCUGUGUAGAAUACCAUGACAGUGGGAAAGGCAUUCUGUAAGUCCUCGGAUAGCCGUUUUGGCAGAAGCAUUGCAUGCAGG
rnacentral:lncRNA from 1 species